rnacentral:rRNA from 1 species
UACGGAGGGUGCAAACGUUGCUCGGAAUUACUGGGCGUAAAGCGCGCGCAGGCGGUUCUACAAGUCAGUGGUGAAAGCCCGGAGCUCAACUCCGGAACUGCCAUUGAAACUGCAGAACUUGAGGAUGAGAGAGGUGAGUGGAAUUCCCAGUGUAGAGGUGAAAUUCGUAGAUAUUGGGAAGAACACCGGUGGCGAAGGCGGCUCACUGGCUCAUUUCUGACGCUCAGGCGCGACAGCGUGGGAUCAAACAGG